GACGAACGCUGGCGGCGUGCUUAACACAUGCAAGUCGAACGGAAAGGCACUGCUUUUGUGGGGUGCUCGAGUGGCGAACGGGUGAGUAACACGUGAGUAACCUGCCCUUGACUUUGGGAUAAGUUCAGGAAACUGGGGCUAAUAUCGGAUAGGAGCUCCUGCUGCAUGGUGGGGGUUGGAAAGUUUCGGCGGUUGGGGAUGGACUGGCGGCUUAUCAGCUAGUUGGUGGGGGAGUGGCUGACCAAGGCUUUGACGGGUAGCCGGCCUGAGAGGGUGACCGGCCACAUUGGGACUGAGAUAGGGCCCAGACUCCUACGGGGGACAGCAGGGGGGAGUAUGGCACAAUGGGCGGGAGCCGGUGGCAGCAACGCCGCGUGCGGGAUGACGGCCUUCGGGUUGUGAACCGCUUUCGCCUGUGACGAAGCGUGAGUGACGGUAAUGGGUAAAGAAGCACCGGCUAACUACGUG
rnacentral:rRNA from 1 species